rnacentral:rRNA from 1 species
UACGAAGGGGGCUAGCGUUGCUCGGAAUCACUGGGCGUAAAGCGCACGUAGGCGGAUCGUUAAGUCGGGGGUGAAAUCCUGGAGCUCAACUCCAGAACUGCCUUCGAUACUGGCGAUCUCGAGUCCGGAAGAGGUGAGUGGAACUCCUAGUGUAGAGGUGGAAUUCGUAGAUAUUAGGAAGAACACCAGUGGCGAAGGCGGCUCACUGGUCCGGUACUGACGCUGAUGUGCGAAAGCGUGGGGAGCAAACAGG